UUUCUUGAAUCUUUUGGCUCAAAGAAUAUAUUUUAGUUUUAAUAUUUCCAACUCUGAAUUAUUACGAUUUGUUCUAGGUUAUAGAUUUGUAUAUAUUUUUCAUAAGAUACCAGUACCGCGGAUUGUCAAUGUAAGCUGGGCAUGGAUCUUGCAUUUGUAAUACCUGUGAAACUACUAAUAUUCUAUCUACGUUGAAGAUGAACGAUAACAAUUACAUAAACAUCAAUGAUUUAUUGCAAUUUCUUUUGUACAGAUUAUUGAUUAUACCAGUACCGCGGAUUGUCAAUGUAAGCUGGGCAUGGAUCUUGCAUUUGUAAUACCUGUGAAACUACUAAUAUUCUAUCUACAUUGAAGAUGAACGAUAACAAUUACAUAAACAUCAAUGAUUUAUUGCAAUUUCUUUUGUAAAGAUUAUUGAUUAUACCAGUACCGCGGAUUGUCUGGGCAUGGAUCUUGCAUUUGUAAUACCUGUGAAACUACUAAUAUUCUAUCUACGUUGAAGAUGAACGAUAACAAUUACAUAAACAUCAAUGAUUUAUUGCAAUUUCUUUUGUAAAGAUUAUUGAUUAUACCAGUACCGCGGAUUGUCAAUGUAAGCUGGGCAUGGAUCUUGCAUUUGUAAUACCUGUGAAACUACUAAUAUUCUAUCUACAUUGAAGAUGAACGAUAACAAUUACAUAAACAUCAAUGAUUUAUUGCAAUUUCUUUUGUAAAGAUUAUUGAUUAUACCAGUACCGCGGAUUGUCUGGGCAUGGAUCUUGCAUUUGUAAUACCUGUGAAACUACUAAUAUUCUAUCUACGUUGAAGAUGAACGAUAACAAUUACAUAAACAUCAAUGAUUUAUUGCAAUUUCUUUUGUACAGAUUAUUGAUUAUACCAGUACCGCGGAUUGUCAAUGUAAGCUGGGCAUGGAUCUUGCAUUUGUAAUACCUGUGAAACUACUAAUAUUCUAUCUACAUUGAAGAUGAACGAUAACAAUUACAUAAACAUCAAUGAUUUAUUGCAAUUUCUUUUGUAAAGAUUAUUGAUUAUACCAGUACCGCGGAUUGUCUGGGCAUGGAUCUUGCAUUUGUAAUACCUGUGAAACUACUAAUAUUCUAUCUACGUUGAAGAUGAACGAUAACAAUUACAUAAACAUCAAUGAUUUAUUGCAAUUUCUUUUGUACAGAUUAUUGAUUAUACCAGUACCGCGGAUUGUCAAUGUAAGCUGGGCAUGGAUCUUGCAUUUGUAAUACCUGUGAAACUAUUAAUAUUCUAUCUACAUUGAAGAUGAACGAUAACAAUUACAUAAACAUCAAUGAUUUAUUGCAAUUUCUUUUGUAAAGAUUAUUGAUUAUACCACUACCGCGGAUUGUCAAUGUAAGCUGGGCAUGGAUCUUGCAUUUGUAAUACCUGUGAAACUACUAAUAUUCUAUCUACAUUGAAGAUGAACGAUAACAAUUACAUAAACAUCAAUGAUUUAUUGCAAUUUCUUUUGUAAAGAUUAUUGAUUAUACCAGUACCGCGGAUUGUCAAUGUAAGCUGGGCAUGGAUCUUGCAUUUGUAAUACCUGUGAAACUACUAAUAUUCUAUCUACAUUGAAGAUGAACGAUAACAAUUACAUAAACAUCAAUGAUUUAUUGCAAUUUCUUUUGUAAAGAUUAUUGAUUAUACCAGUACCGCGGAUUGUCAAUGUAAGCUGGGCAUGGAUCUUGCAUUUGUAAUACCUGUGAAACAACUAAUAUUCUAUCUACAUUGAAGAUGAACGAUAACAAUUACAUAAACAUCAAUGAUUUAUUGCAAUUUCUUUUGUAAAGAUUAUUGAUUAUACCAGUACCGCGGAUUGUCAAUGUAAGCUGGGCAUGGAUCUUGCAUUUGUAAUACCUGUGAAACUAUUAAUAUUCUAUCUACAUUGAAGAUGAACGAUAACAAUUACAUAAACAUCAAUGAUUUAUUGCAAUUUCUUUUGUAAAGAUUAUUGAUUAUACCACUACCGCGGAUUGUCAAUGUAAGCUGGGCAUGGAUCUUGCAUUUGUAAUACCUGUGAAACUACUAAUAUUCUAUCUACAUUGAAGAUGAACGAUAACAAUUACAUAAACAUCAAUGAUUUAUUGCAAUUUCUUUUGUAAAGAUUAUUGAUUAUACCAGUACCGCGGAUUGUCAAUGUAAGCUGGGCAUGGAUCUUGCAUUUGUAAUACCUGUGAAACUACUAAUAUUCUAUCUACAUUGAAGAUGAACGAUAACAAUUACAUAAACAUCAAUGAUUUAUUGCAAUUUCUUUUGUAAAGAUUAUUGAUUAUACCAGUACCGCGGAUUGUCAAUGUAAGCUGGGCAUGGAUCUUGCAUUUGUAAUACCUGUGAAACAACUAAUAUUCUAUCUACAUUGAAGAUGAACGAUAACAAUUACAUAAACAUCAAUGAUUUAUUGCAAUUUCUUUUGUAAAGAUUAUUGAUUAUACCAGUACCGCGGAUUGUCAAUGUAAGCUGGGCAUGGAUCUUGCAUUUGUAAUACCUGUGAAACUAUUAAUAUUCUAUCUACAUUGAAGAUGAACGAUAACAAUUACAUAAACAUCAAUGAUUUAUUGCAAUUUCUUUUGUAAAGAUUAUUGAUUAUACCACUACCGCGGAUUGUCAAUGUAAGCUGGGCAUGGAUCUUGCAUUUGUAAUACCUGUGAAACUACUAAUAUUCUAUCUACAUUGAAGAUGAACGAUAACAAUUACAUAAACAUCAAUGAUUUAUUGCAAUUUCUUUUGUAAAGAUUAUUGAUUAUACCAGUACCGCGGAUUGUCAAUGUAAGCUGGGCAUGGAUCUUGCAUUUGUAAUACUUGUGAAACUACUAAUAUUCUAUCUACAUUGAAGAUGAACGAUAACAAUUACAUAAACAUCAAUGAUUUAUUGCAAUUUCUUUUGUAAAGAUUAUUGAUUAUACCAGUACCGCGGAUUGUCAAUGUAAGCUGGGCAUGGAUCUUGCAUUUGUAAUACCUGUGAAACUAUUAAUAUUCUAUCUACAUUGAAGAUGAACGAUAACAAUUACAUAAACAUCAAUGAUUUAUUGCAAUUUCUUUUGUAAAGAUUAUUGAUUAUACCACUACCGCGGAUUGUCAAUGUAAGCUGGGCAUGGAUCUUGCAUUUGUAAUACCUGUGAAACUACUAAUAUUCUAUCUACAUUGAAGAUGAACGAUAACAAUUACAUAAACAUCAAUGAUUUAUUGCAAUUUCUUUUGUAAAGAUUAUUGAUUAUACCAGUACCGCGGAUUGUCAAUGUAAGCUGGGCAUGGAUCUUGCAUUUGUAAUACUUGUGAAACUACUAAUAUUCUAUCUACAUUGAAGAUGAACGAUAACAAUUACAUAAACAUCAAUGAUUUAUUGCAAUUUCUUUUGUAAAGAUUAUUGAUUAUACCACUACCGCGGAUUGUCAAUGUAAGCUGGGCAUGGAUCUUGCAUUUGUAAUAUCAGUGAAACUAAUUCUUGAUUAGUUAUCUUAUAAUAUUAAUAUUGAUAGGAAGGUAUACUUUAUUAUAUAUAUAAUAUGUAUGUAUUUAUAUAUAAUUUAAUAUGAUAUAAUAACAUAAAAUUGUUAGCCAAAAUAAGUCCAAUUCAUACAUAUUACCUAUUACCUAAUACCUAUUUAUAGUACAAAAAUAAUUAAACAAACCUAUUUUAUGUACAUGUAGAUUAAAUCCAUUAGACUCAAAUCAGAAUCUAUACGAUAUAUAUGUAUAUUUAAAGAAUAUGUGAUUUAUGUUUUGCACCAAUAUCAUAUUAUAA